rnacentral:rRNA from 1 species
CUACGGGGUGCUGCAGUGAGGAAUAUUGCACAAUGGGGGGAACCCUGAUGCAGCAACGCCGCGUGGAGGAUGACGCAUUUCGGUGUGUAAACUCCUUAUAUAUGUCAAGAAAAUGACAGUAGCAUAUGAAUAAGCACCGGCUAACUCCGUGCCAGCAGCCGCGGUAAUACGGAGGGUGCAAGCGUUACUCGGAAUCACUGGGCGUAAAGGACGCGUAGGCGGGUUGGAAAGUCAGGUGUGAAAUCCUACAGCUUAACUGUAGAACUGCACUUGAAACUUCUAAUCUAGAGUAUGGGAGGGGGAGAUGGAAUUAGUGGUGUAGGGGUAACAUCCGUAGAUAUCACUAGGAAUACCUAAAGCGAAGGCGAUCUCCUGGAACAUUACUGACGCUAAGGCGUGAAAGCGUGGGGAGCAAACAGGAUUAGAUACCCUCGUAGUC